rnacentral:lncRNA from 1 species
ACUGCACGUAUCUACUUGGCAGUCACGGCUUCCUAUCAUUUCAUUUCAGAAAUAGCCUCUGUUGCCGUAACUUUCGACCCUAACUCUUCCAACCACGAAGUUGAUGACUUCUCACUAAGAAUAACUUUGUUUUCUGGUUUCUUCAUGCAGGCUUGGUCCCACUGUCCGUGAGUAUAAUCCCUGCUUGGCCACUACGCUUACCUCUAUUUCUUCCCCUCUCCGUCUCCAUCUAGCGAACACCAGCCCUUUCUGGGCUCACAGGGAAGCUUCCAGUCCAGGGACGGUCUGGAAAACACCUUUAGGGGCUUGAGCGUUCCCCUUUGUUUUCGUUUAGGGCCCUUCCAGUAUUGCAUUCAAGGUGAUCAUGUGAACGAAAGACCAAACCACUCCGACUGAAGGAAGUGAACCUGUGCUGGCCUCUUGGCCGUCGUUGGGACGUCAGGGGCUGGGUCGAGACUUUUCUGGAUGAUAAGGCUUCCGUCCCCCCAGGAAGGGCCAAGUCAGCAACCAAGAGCGAGCCUUGCGGUGGCCGUUUCAGGGGCAUCGGGGGCAUGCCCUCCCCGCCACCGAUCGCUGAGGACGCCCCUCCGCUGCUUCGCUCUGUGUCCUUAAAACGUCGGCUACUGGGCAUACAGAUGGUUAUACUUCCCAGUCCCCUAGCAGCUCCCUUGGCGGAGUCGUGCGAGUGGUUUUGGCUAAUGGGCUGUGCUGCAGCGUGGGAGAGCGGGUGUGAGAACACUGAGUGCUCUCCUCUUCCACCGUGGUGACCCGGGAGGCUUUGUGUUGUCAUGGCAGAGCCGCAGGAUUGAAACGGCCUAUGUUGUGUCACUUCAUGGAGAACAACACCCUGGCGGUCGUCCAGACCCACAGCUGGCUUUGUGGGAGCUGGAAAUGGAUGUGUGAAGCCACUGAGGUUGUGGAGUUGUUUGUUACCACAGCAUAACCUUUCUUGACCAGAGCUUGUUGGAAAAGUUUUCCUGCGAAGGGCUAGAUAGUAAAUAUUUUAUUUUCUUUUCCAAGAUCUUAUGUCAAUAUGCACACCUACCCCUUCCCAUUUCUUUACGUCCUUGCCAUUGCUUGGUACUGUCAGAUCAGGCCUACCCAGGGCACAGUGCAAAUCGCCCUAUACUAAGUAUUUACACAUUUAAAAGUUAUGAAUCAAGAUAAUAAGCGUCUAAGUAAAAUAUGAACAUCUACUCUUCCUCUGACAGACAUACCUUGAUGUUGACCUGGAAAACUCGAUUUGAGCUUCAAGU